UAUCACAUUUCUACACUUCACUUGCUUGCUUUCAUGGUUGAAGAGUUUAUUCUCUUGGAAAUCCUACCCUUAUAUUGUUUUACUAUGCUUUACAUUGAAUCUGAAGAAUGUUGCAUUUGUGCAGAAACAUUAACUUCUACUUAUUAUCAGCUUAAUAAACAUUAACUUCUAAUUAUUUCAGCUACACAUGAUAUAUGUAUUUUCAUGAUAUUUUCAAUAUAUCAUAUUAAUCGAAAGAGGUAAGAUUUUGUUUAGCGGGGUUAAUAGAAAGAGGUAAGAUUUUCUUCCCCUUUUACAUUACUCAAUUUGUCAUAUUUAUAUUUCAUUUCUACUUUUUCUUCUGGAAUUUCAAAAUUUAGCAGUUCUCUUUGUUUUUGUGUGUGGCGAUGGUGUUGUCUUGCUUUUUUUUUUUUUUUUUUUGGCUCCUUUUUGCCACUUUUGUUUUGAAUCUGGUAUAUUGACUACAAAUGCGAAGGUAUUCCUAGCGUGUAAAGGUUGUUGGAAUAAAAUUAGUAGUUUUAAGUUCUCUCUAACAAUAGGAAAGGUUUCUAUGAUGCUUAGUGUAAAGUAAGCAAAGUAAGCGAAUCAACAGGAGGAAAGAUCACAUUUGGUCUAGGAGCCGAAAGAGCUCAACUGACUUAGUUGUAGAGGGCGACUGAAAAGGAGGCUAGACACAGGGAGAGCGGUGGGCAGAGAGAGAUUGUGAAAGAGUAAAGGAAAAGUCAUCUCAUGACCGAAACUAAAACCAGUCAACUUGCCAAUCAACUGACCUGCUUUCCUACCCUUUCAAUUUCACUGUUUGGGAGUAGAAGAUCAGGAGAUUCAAGAGAAUGGUUUGAAAGCCUCACUUUGUGGAGAGGACUGGGUACAAUGGACAUAAUUUAGUGUCGCGAUAUAAGUGCUAGAACAUUUGAGACAAGUUCUUAAAUUUGUUUACAGUGCAUUCUUUUAAUUCCAUUUGAAUCUAAAUUUUACAAGUAUCUACGCAAAAAGAAUAUUCAUCGGUAGGUUUGAAGUUCACCUAUUGCAAGCCAAUAUGCUAAAGUUUUUGGUAGCUGGAUGAAAAUGAUGCAAUAUGCGUUAAAGCUUUUUUUAGUUGAAUUACUUCUUUAGCAAAGUAUACUUAUUUUGUUCUUUGCUAUUGCCCAUCUUUUCCUUUUUUGUUCGUUGGUCGAGGAAAUUGUUGGCUUAACUGUUCAUCUUUUUGUAAAAAGGAAAGGUAUAUAGUAGAAUCUCUUUGUAUAAAUAUUGUACAAGCACUAAUGUGUGCUCUUUCAGUUUUCGUCCAGGUAUUGGCAUGGGGUCACUUGGCAGUAAUCUCAGCUUCGAGUGAAGCUCUUCCUACUCUUAUGGCAUGUGUUCUUCUUAGCAGUGUUAGAGCAUCCAUUACAGAAAAUAUGACAUUUACUACUUUGACUAAUGCGGGUGUGACACAAGAAGUUUGUUCCUACAAAUACAAUUGGUGUACUGGUUCUAUGCUCUAAUAUUUUCUCCUAAUAGGUUGCAUCAUUGUUUUUCCCUUCUUGCUCAGGGGUAUUGCUUCAAUUAUCUUGCAGAGUUUGUCGCCAAAACAUGGGACCUGUUUCCACUCAAACUAAGGUCUAUAGGAGAUAAUGAUGACCAACAAUUUUGAAGGAAGUUGGCCUGGAUAGCUCUUCAACAUGUCCUUAUGAUUCUGUAGUUUCAGAUUGGCUGAGGAAGCAGCCUGUAGGAGGUAUUCCCUUCCAAAUUCAUACAAAAAAUCCCUCUUCCUCCCAUCCCCUAAAAACAAAAAAGGUUCAAUAAAGAAGUUGAAAACAUUAAAACAUCAUCCUCAGCCUCUGCAUUUGAAAUAAAUGUAAAGGUUGAAAGUUUUCUGUGGAAAUAGAAGGUUUAAAUUUAUUUUAAUUUUGAUUAACAGCAGCCUCAUUGUGCUUCAACAUGGAAUAUUCUAUUGAACAUUUUACUUAUUUCCUUUUUCUGGAGAGACCAAGGGGCUGAUGGGCCUUUUUCAUCUGCUAUUAUGCUGAUUGAUGACAUUGGUCUCUGUUAGUAGAUAAGUUCCCUCCCAGCUUGACAGUGCCACUCUCUCUAAAAGACCCACUUCGAUAAGGUGAAAACCCUCAAGGCUGCAAUUUAUGUUGACAAGUCUCCAUCGGAGGUUAACGCUGGCGGAAUUUAUGUAUGAUAAGUUUUUGAAUUUAAUAAAGAGCUCCAUUAUAGUAUCAGUUUAUCUUGCCAAAUGUCAUUCAGAAAGAUGGCAUACUACAUUCAUCUUUCUGAAAUAUUCUUUGAUUACAAAUAAUUGUUUCACCUAUUAACAGAAGGAACAUCUAUAUAAUGGUUGAACAAAAUAAAUUUUCUUUAGUAUUAGUUCAGAAAACCAAAGCAAGUUGCUCUGUAAUAAUCAUAGGUUUGCAGCUCCCAAGUUGUAAAUCAUGUCUCCUUUCUGAAAAUAUAGUUUGUAUUCUUUAGAUUCUUAUUUCAGUUCAGAUGUCAAGCAUUUUGGUCUUUGUUAGUGGUGUAUAUAAUGUAGCAUUAGCUGAGGUUUAAAGAGGGUGAUCUCAUGUUAGGAUUGUGUCAAUUCUUCAACUUUGAUUUAGAGGGUUAACUCUUGAACCUUGAUUUGGGAACUCUGUGAUCUGAUGUUGCUGAUUUGUUGCUAAAUUUUAGAGGUCCUAACUGACCCUUAUACAUGAUUCUGAGCUGGGAAUAUCCUAUUGUGUGGACUAUGUCCUUUAUAAAAAAAAUAUAUGUGCCAUUGUGUGGACUAUUAACAGUUUUUCUUUAAUGUAUGUCUUUCAGGGGUGCUGCAACAAGGAGAGGGAAAAGAUUAAAAAACUGUUCUGAAAACAUAUGAUUAAUGUUAAUUGCCCUUGUGGAUCCCAAAGCUAGCUAUAAUAUAAUGACAUUAUAUGGUUAAAUAGUAUGACAAACUUGGUCAUUUGUUGAAAAUUUUGCAGAUUAAUGAUGGUUGCCAAUGGAGAAAAUGUGGUCAGAAAAUGGCAAAAGAGAAUUCAUAUUCACGAGCUUAUUGUUUUUGCACAAGGCUGUUGGAAGAAUAAGAAAAAAGCACAUGUCUGAAAUUAUUCAAUUUCAUCGUGGAUAUUACUGUUUAUUGGAUAAACUUUUUUGUUUCUUAUAGUCUUUUGGUUCAAAUUAAGUGCAUUGGUUAUUUGCUUACCUGUAAAGUAUUACUUUAGGAAGACAAUUUAUUAUGAUUUAAUAAAAUAUUAGUGUUUUAAUUAUAGAAAUAUUUUUAUUGCUUUGAUUAUUAUUAUUA